UAUGUGAUCGUCUCUCGCAUAUCAAUAAGCGGAGGAAAAGAAACUAACAAGGAUUCCCCUAGUAACGGCGAGUGAAGCGGGAAGAGCUCAAAUUUGAAAUCUUAAAGGGUUUCCCUUUACGAAUUGUAGUUUAAAGAAGUGUUUUCUGUUGAGGUUUUGGUAAAAGUUCUUUGGAAUAGGACAUCAUAGAGGGUGAGAAUCCCGUAUUUGACCUUUACUUUCAACUUUGUGAUACACUUUCAAAGAGUCGGAUUGUUUGGGAAUGCAGUCCAAAAUGGGUGGUAAAUUUCAUCUAAAGCUAAAUAUUGGCGAGAGACCGAUAGCGAACAAGUACCGUGAGGGAAAGAUGAAAGGAACUUUGAAAAGAGAGUUAAACAGUACGUGAAAUUGUCAAAAGGGAAGCGUUUGACACCAGUGUUGUUUUUCUGAAAAUCAAUUAAAGAACUGUUUAUGCUAAGUUGUUCAGACUUUAUCAGCUAACUGUUUAGUUUUGAGCUUUUCUUUAAUGCACUUUUCAGUUAACAAGUCAACAUCAAUUUCUUUUGCUGUAAAAAAGCUUGAGGAAGGUGGCUUGAGAUUCGUCUUAAGUGUUUAUAGCCUCUUGCCUAUGCAGUCGGAGAGAUUGAGGUCUGCAGCGUAGAUCCUUCGGGGCUAAAUGCAUUUGUGCUAAGUUAUAGCAUUUUAUAGACAACUUGUUGACUAUGAUUUGUCUUGUAGCUUACUCGCUUAUGUUAUUUUACCUACGCUUAGGAUGUUGAACGCGCACAGAGUCUC
rnacentral:rRNA from 1 species